rnacentral:misc_RNA from 1 species
UAGACGGAUCGCACAAGGGGAAUACAACGAGGGAACAGUUCAGUGUUAACCGACGGAGGAGUGUCAUUUCAUCGUCGUUUUGUCGGAUUUUUACGUCAGGUGUAUUGUUUCCUUUUUUCGCUGACAGAACACAAUUGAAAUGUACAAUAGAUAAACAUGCAAUUAGGAAGGUUCAAGUAUAAUGAAGUCAUCUAUGAAAAUGGGAGUAAUAGCCUUAAUAGGUCUCUUCGUGGUGUUUUACCAAUACCAUUUAUCAACCAGCGUACGAUUCGAUCAAAUCGCCGAUUUCAACACGGGUGGUUCCGUGGAAGACAGCCCUGUUCUAUCCCAGGAAGACGUAGAGCGCUACAUCAAAAGCGCUGUGUAUAAAGUUCAAGAGAUGAACGGGCUGAGCCCAGACAUAACCUCGAUGUUGGUGCAGCAGUUAACGAAUUAUUUGCACAAGGAUAUUCUCGAAUUAUCCGAGAAUAAUUCGAAGAAUGAUCGAAACGUAUCGUUGAACGAAGAGAGACAAGAAUCGUCGAUGAAUUCGGAUAAAAUGCCGGAACCGUUGUAUAUAAUCACGCCGACGUAUCGUCGGCCAGAACAAAUACCGGAACUCACCAGGAUGUCGCAUACUUUGAUGUUGGUAAAGAAUGUUCAUUGGCUCGUUAUCGAGGACGCGACCGUUGCCACUAAACAAGUCACGAGGCUGUUGGAACGAACAGGAUUGAAGUUCGAGCAUCUGACUGCUCCAAUGCCUGAAAAGUACAAGCAGAAAAAGGGUGCCAAACCACGAGGCGUGUCUAAUCGGAAUCGUGGCUUACAAUGGAUCAGGGCAAAUGCAACUAAUGGCGUCUUCUAUUUCGCCGAUGAUGACAAUACCUAUGAUAUAGCACUCUUCGACGAAAUACGUAAAACAAAACGAGUCUCCAUGUUUCCUGUUGGUUUAUGCACCAAAUUUGGUUUAAGCUCGCCCAUUAUUAAGAACGAAAAAUUCGUCGGAUUUUACGAUGGAUGGAUCGCCGGUCGGAAAUUCCCAGUCGAUAUGGCAGGCUUCGCUGUAAACGUGAAGUUUCUGCUUCAAAGGCCAAAUGCCUCGAUGCCAUUCAAAGCUGGAUACGAGGAAGAUGGAUUUUUGAAAAGUUUGGCACCGUUUGAACCGAAAGAAAUUGAAUUCUUGGCCGAUAAUUGCACCAAGGUACUCGCUUGGCAUACGCAGACAAAAAAGAAUGAACCAAGUGCGCCUCUUGAUAUGAAACUGUACGGUGAAACGAACCUAGUUAAAUUAAAACAACAGAUAGUAUGAUGUUAAAUCGAUAGCGACUGCAUUUUCGAGUUCGAUCUAAUUUUAACGAUUAAUAAGUACGAAACAAAGUGAUUCAGUGCCUGAAGUAUUGUGAAGUACGAUUGGCGUAGUAAUGAUCUUCUUUUUUUUCUAAUUUUUUUAUUGUUUAAGAUCUCCAUAGGAAAUGUUGUAGAUAAAUGAUCUUUAUAAUGUUGUUUUUGUUUUUUUAUUAAGCUUGUUAUUAAUCUUGAGCAAUUGAAUUUGGAAAAAAAAAUAUGAAUUUCUUUUAUAGUUUAAAUUUUUUUAAAAAAAUUAA